AUACGGAGGGGGCUAGCGUUGUUCGGAAUUACUGGGCGUAAAGCGUACGUAGGCGGAUUGGCAAGUAAGAUGUGAAAUCCCAGGGCUCAACCCUGGAACUGCAUUUUAAACUACCAGUCUAGAGUUAUGGAGAGGUAAGUGGAAUUCCUAGUGUAGAGGUGAAAUUCGUAGAUAUUAGGAGGAACACCAGAGGCGAAGGCGGCUUACUGGACAUAUACUGACGCUGAGGUACGAAAGUGUGGGGAGCAAACGGGAUUAGAAACCCCAGUAGUCC
rnacentral:rRNA from 1 species